CUGAGGCUGAGCCCGAGGACAACUCCAAGUCCUACACUGCCUACCUCGCCGAGUUGGCUGAGAAGAAGCUGAAGCUUGGAGAGCAGAACAUCCGUAAGCCCAACGAGGGCAGCUCCAAGAACUUCCCCGAGGGUACCCAGGUCACUCGCCAGGAGGAGGACUUCUUUGCCGGCUCUGGCGGCAAGGCCAAGCGUGAGCGUCAGCGCAAGGAGAAG
rnacentral:misc_RNA from 1 species